GAGCGAAAGCGUGGGGAGCUAACAGGAUUAGAUACCCUGGUAGUCCACGCCGUAAACGAUGGGCGCUAGUUGUGCGAACCUUCCACGGUUUGUGCGACGCAGCUAACGCAUUAAGCGCCCCGCCUGGGGAGUACGAUCGCAAGAUUAAAACUCAAAGGAAUUGACGGGGCCCCGCACAAGCAGCGGAGCAUGCGGCUUAAUUCGACGCAACGCGAAGAACCUUACCAAGGCUUGACAUAUACAGGAAUACGGCAGAGAUGUCGUAGCGGUAAAACGUCUGUAUACAGGUGGUGCAUGGUUGUCGUCAGCUCGUGUC
rnacentral:rRNA from 1 species